UUUUGAAGGAGAAAUCCCUCCUGCAGAUUUAUACAUUCUGGCCCGGAUCAUUCAUGACUGGAAGGAGGAAAAAAAUCUCAAACUACUGAAGAAGAUUCAUACAGCAUGUCAUCCAGGUGGAGGCGUUCUGAUCGCAGAGGCACUGUUGUUUGAGAACCGCCGUGGUCCAACUAUGGUUCAGAUGUUUUCUCUGAACAUGCUGGUGCAGACAGAAGGGAAAGAGCAUCCACCCUCUCAUUAUACACAUAUGCUCACCGAAGCAGGAUUCAGAGAUGUGCAGGUCUGUCGGACCGGAAAAUCAUACAAUGCUAUUUUGGCACUCAAAUGAAUAUGCACAAGUGUAUUAAUGUAAGCAUUGUCAGUAAUCAGAACCCUUCUGCCUUAUGCCCUUAUCUGCAGACACGUCAGUAAUCAUAUUCAUGCACAUGUCAGACAUCUGUUGUUCCACCUUGGCCUCGUUUUGUAAAGUAAUAAAGCAGUUUUAUUUCUCCAACACAGAGUGAGCCCACUCCUGAUCCUUACGAUUCCUUCAAAAGACCAACUUUAGUACAAAUUAGGUUUAGUUAUUUGUGAGCUUGACUCCUGAGGCCUACCAGAUGUAGUCUGAGAAGGGUGGGAUAAAGAGCUGUUUUGGAUUGGCCGGUGGUGUCAAAAUAAGCUCCUCCCUCUAUCCCGUCUUGUGUAUCUAUGCACUGUCGUCUUGACAUAUGGUUAAGUGUGACCCCUAGUGGUUAUUUGUUGAACUAACA